rnacentral:lncRNA from 1 species
GGCGGGGCCAGGCGUGGGAACGCGGCGACGCUCUCGCGGCGCUUUGCGAGCCUAUAAAAAGCGCGGGCGCAUGUGCGGCGCAGUGCUGGGCCGGAGGCGGCGCCGAGCCGGUUCGUCUAUCCGUCUGUCAGUCCGUCCGUCCGUCCGUCCGUCCGGGCCGGGGCAGCGCCGUGCCGUGCCUGGUGGUAUCCCCCUACCCCUCAGCGUCUUCUCCUCCGCCAGCUGCCGUUGCCUGGGUUCCUGUAUGUGCGACCGCGUCUCCAGCCCUAUGAGGUAAUCCCAGAAGAUCUUUCUUUGCCAAACCCAGGGGCUGAUGCAUCCCCUUCCCUGCUCCGGUGCCGGACUCCUGCAUUCCAGGUAAGAUUCCUCCAACUUCCCCCACUGCUCACUGUCCAUGCUCAUUGUUCCUCACACUUGGGUUGUUGGUUGUCACUGAGUGGUGACUCUUGGGUACUGUGGUUUCCGUGGGUGUGCUGGGGUUUUGUGGGCAUUUCCUGCAGUCCUGUGCUGUUUUUGGAGUAGGGGAAAGGCUUCAGCAUGACGUGGGGUGUUUCAUUUCGGAAGGGAUGAUGCCAGCAGUGGAAAACAGCAGCUGUUUGCCACAUUGCUGUUCCUGGGUGUCUGCAGGGAGUGUCUGGGCUCCCUAAACCGUGCUGGCAGCACAGCGCACAGCUCAGGAUGCUGUGAGCUGACAGGGAACAGACAGGAAUGCCAGGGCAGGCAGCACCAAGGAUGCACAGCUCUGGGCAUCACCCACACUUCCUUUGGUUUGCCAGCAGCCAGUCCAUCCCUGGUGAUCCCAGCUGAUUUCCCCUUCUCCUCUCCACAGGAUCCUGUUCCCACUGAUGGGAAUGAGGGUUUCUCCUCCCCAUUCUCUCUUAGCCUCGCUUGCUGCAGGUGUGUAUCUCCAGUGGAGAGAGCCAGUAACAGGUAAAUGUUCCUUCCCAGCACAUUCUGGGGAGGCAGAUGUGCUGGGGGUGAUUUUGGGGCUGUAAGAGCACCCCAGAGGUGCAGAUGCCUGGAACAGACCAGGCUAAGACCUGCCAUGAAUUAGUUCUUGCUCUCAGUUUUUUAUUCCUCUUUUCUGCUCUCAGGAGAGGUGUCCUGCUGGCAGUCAGUGGCUGAGCAGCGUGCUGCCCACUAUGGCUGGUGAGUCUGGGAACAAAGCUGGCUCUGUCCCCUCCCUCACAGCAUCCCUUCCCCAGCAGAACACCAGGGUGCCCAUGGGCUGCUCCUCACGAUGCCAACGCAUUCAGGUGUUGGUGGCAGCUCAGUUUCAGGGACCAGGAUGGUUUUGGGGUCAAGGUGAGAUCUUACCCACCCCUUUCCAUCUGGGGGCAUCCUACAGAUUGAAUGAUGCUGUGCUUG